rnacentral:rRNA from 1 species
AUACGGAGGAUGCAAGCGUUAUCCGGAUUUAUUGGGUUUAAAGGGUGCGUAGGCGGUUUGCUAAGCGGGAGGUGAAAUGCCGGCGCUCAACGUCGGAAGUGCCUCCCGAACUGGUGGACUUGAAUGACUCUGCCGUGGGAGGAAUGUGUAGUGUAGCGGUGAAAUGCUUAGAGAUUACGCAGAACACCGAUUGCGAAGGCAUCUCACGAAGGGUUGAUCGACGCUGAGGCACGAAAGCGUGGGGAUCAAACAGGAUUAGAUACCCUGGUAGUCCACGCAGUAAACGAUGAUGGCUAACCGCUGGGCUUAUCAGUUCAGUGGCCAAGCGAAAGCGAUAAGCCAUCCACCUGGGGAGUACGACCGCAAGGUUGAAACUCAAAUGAAUUGGCGGGG